ensembl:lncRNA
CGUCCUGUAGACCCACAUACACAAACGUGAGCCUCGGGGGAAAACACCUGAAUGCCACGAUGGGAUGUGAGCAAUAACAGUAAGGAUAACAAAAAUGCAAUUUGGGGAUUCGGAGGAUUUAGUGGCUGGAGAAUGGGCUGAGAUGCAUAAAAAGAAGCAUGGCUCUGUAUUGCAUCUCAGCACCGCUUUGUUGAAUAAUGAGGUUUGAAAGGCUGCGAGAGGCACUCACCGGAGCACUGAUGUUCAUUAAGAUAAAAUCAAAGACAGCCUCCUGCUUUCGGUUUUCCAGAAGGACUCCUUCCAUAGCAAGGUAAGUAAUAACCAGAAAAGCCCUUACACUGCAAUCCUUGUGGGAAGCCGCCGGCUUUGCCAUCCCAGUUCUCAUUCUAUUUGUCCUACUGCGGUCUGCAGAGAAAAAGAGCAGAAAGCAAAAGGGAGAAGUCAGAAAGUUGCUCAGCAGCAGCACCUGGCAGUCGGUUCCAGUGCCUUGACUCCAUGGGGAGCAACGGGAUGAAAGGAAAGGGAGAAGAGAAGCAAAAUAAUUGAAAGGAGUAAUUCAAUUUGGGAAGAAUUAUUCUCCUAAUGAUUUAUGGCUUCAUUAAUGACUGAUUGAAUGAAUCAUUUUUUCCUCUUUUUCUUCUUCUUUUUUUUUUCUUUUACUUAUUAGGGAUUAAGGCUGCCGGCUGAAAGGUUAUUGGAUGUCACAGCAACAGAGACUCAUUUGUCUCCAUUUAAAUACUUAAUGAUCUCUCUCUUUCUCCCCCUCGGUCAAUGAGAUCUAGAAGAGCUCUGAUGCAAACUUUCCCGGCUUCAUACAGACGUGACCUGGUGCUGCAAGGAAUGGGUGGACAUCCCUGCAGCCACACAGUGCUACAGAGGGCUGUGCCCACAGACACCCAUCCCCACGGGUGCACGCAUGCAUUUUCAUACCCAGUAAUUCAGCGCAGUGUGUGUUUGAUGCAUCACUGUUAGACGGAGAUGCAAUCAGAGCAGAGCAGGACUGGUUUGCAGAGCACACAUCAACACCAACGUCUCCUGAUUGCAAAAACCCUCUGGCUGUGAGGCUCCUGAGUUAGCAAAGCCAUUUAAAAUUCAUUAUCUCUCAUGCAGCACCCGGAUGCCUCCGGGCUCAGCAGCGCCCACCCGAACCAUCGCACGUCCUCCAGCUCUCUUCAAUUAAGCAACCUCCAAAAGUUCAGGCCCUAUUAAUUGGUCUCCAACCUGCAUAGUGCUGGCAUUGGGAUUUCUCCCUGGCAGUGACUGAGGGGGAGCAGAGGAGGGGGACAAACCUCUCCCUUUGGAGAUGCCCUUUUAAACCCCAACUGCAGGAUCUCCAUUGCCAGCCACUCCGAGGAGCAUCCCACACCACACAGUGGGAGCAUGAGGGACACGGCCAGCAGGCAUGGUGACAUGGGAUGGGGUUGGACCUGAUGGUCUUAGAGGGCUUUUCCGACCUUAAUGCUUCUACAGUUCUAUUCAGGUUCUGGAGCCAAGCCACAGUGUGAUCCCAUUGCUAUAGGAUAGGGCUCCAUAUAGACACUCUACAGAAGAAUUGAAGAUGUUUUUGGCCUGUUUGCAAGAGCAGUAUCUCUUUCUAAGAAUAAGUUCAACUAACAGAACUCAUUGCUCUCCCACUCGUAACUCAUUUAUGUCAAAUAAGUUCCUUCGAACCAACUACCAGGGGGAAAACUGGGCUGUGUAUGUGGGACUGCUGCUGUGAUACAACAGUGCAGCUGUUAUCUUUCCUUCUAUAUAAUGCAAAACUCCUUCUGCUAAGCAGAGAGAGAGCUUGCAUGGAGGCUGAAUAAAAUGUCUUUGGUAAUUCUAUUUUCCAUAAAUGCAGCUUUGGGGACAUCACUACAUUCUGCGCAUUCAUGGCAAACACAGACUUCUUUCUCAUGGGAAGAAAUGAAGGAGGAUUUUCCCCUGAUGAAAAAGAGUUGAAAUUGCUUUGAUGUCCCCAGGUGCUGCAGAUACCUCUGCUGCUAUCAGACCGUGAAUCCUAGAGGAAUGCUAUCAAACAUGGCAGGGAGUGCACAGCCUUCUGUAGUGGUAAUGAGCAGCUGCGUGCACCUGCAACCCUGGGGUUCAUGCCUGGAGCUUUGCAAAUGGGAAGGAUCAGAAAUGUUACGAGAGAUGAGUUUGGUAGGAGCCCAAGUGCGUGGCCAUGAACGCUGGGCACAUGCUUGGAAGAAGACCAAUGGGUUGCGUUGGUUUUGCACUGUGGGAUGCUCACAUGUGAGCAGAGGAUGGGGCUCCCCCAGCCUGGAUGGCUGCCUACAGCAAAGUUAAUCAUGCAUUUACCCUCCAGAGGUGAAACUCUGAUUUUACUAUGAGCUGGAUACCCAACUGCCCACCCUGGGCACAGGGGACAGCUUCCAUCCAUUUGGCUUUAAUUUCAGCAUAACUUUUCCAGCUUCUCCCUCAAGGCCAAUAAAAAUUCC